UACGGAGGAUGCAAGCGUUAUCCGGAAUGAUUGGGCGUAAAGAGUCCGUAGGUGGCCCUUCAAGUCUGCUGUUAAAGAGCGAGGCUUAACUUCGGAAAAGCAGUGGAAACUGGAGAGCUAGAGUGUAGUAGGGGCAGAGGGAAUUCCUGGUGUAGCGGUGAAAUGCGUAGAGAUCAGGAAGAACACCGGUGGCGAAAGCGCUCUGCUGGGCUACAACUGACACUGAGGGACGAAAGCUAGGGGAGCGAAUGGGAUUAGAUACCCCAGUAGUCCUAGCGGUAAACGAUGGAAACUAGGUGUGGCCUGUAUCGACCCGGGCCGUGCCGGAGCAAACGCGUUAAGUUUCCCGCCUGGGGAGUACGCACGCAAGUGUGAAACUCAAAGGAAUUGACGGGGGCCCGCACAAGCGGUGGAGUAUGUGGUUUAAUUCGAUGCAACGCGAAGAACCUUACCAGGACUUGACAUCUCUGGAAUCCGUCUGAAAGGGUGGAGUGCCUUAGGGAACCAGAAGACAGGUGCUGCAUGGCUGUCGUCAGCUCGUGUCGUGAGAUGUUGGGUUAAGUCCCGCAACGAGCGCAACCCUCGUCGUUAGUUGUCAUCAUUAAGUUGGGAACUCUAGCGAGACUGCCGGUGACAAACCGGAGGAAGGUGAGGAUGACGUCAAGUCAGCAUGGCCCUUACGUCCUGGGCGACACACGUACUACAAUGCUAAGGACAGAGAGCGGCCAACCCGCGAGGGAGAGCGAAUCUCAUAAACCUUGGCACAGUUCAGAUUGAAGCUUGCAACUCAGCUUCAUGAAGGAGGAAUCGCUAGUAAUCGCAGGUCAGCAUACUGCGGUGAAUCCGUUCCCGGGCCU
rnacentral:rRNA from 1 species